rnacentral:rRNA from 1 species
UCUGGUGACCAUACCGUGUUGGAAGUAUCGGUUCUUGUCUGAUCACGGAAGUUAAGCGACGUUGGACCCGGUUAGUACUUGCAUGGUUGACGGCUGGGAAUACCGGGUGUUCCGGCC